GAACGCUGGCGGCAGGCCUAACACAUGCAAGUCGAGCGGAAACGAUCCUAGCUUGCUAGGAGGCGUCGAGCGGCGGACGGGUGAGUAACGCGUGAGAAUCUGCCCAUUUGUGGGGGAUAACUCGGGGAAACUCGAGCUAAUACCGCAUAAUCCCUACGGGGGAAAGCAGGGGACCUUCGGGCCUUGUGCAGAUGGAUGAGCUCGCGUCGGAUUAGCUUGUUGGUGAGGUAAAGGCUCACCAAGGCGACGAUCCGUAGCUGGUCUGAGAGGAUGAUCAGCCACACCGGGACUGAGACACGGCCCGGACUCCUACGGGAGGCAGCAGUGGGGAAUCUUGGACAAUGGGGGCAACCCUGAUCCAGCCAUGCCGCGUGUGUGAAGAAGGCCUUCGGGUUGUAAAGCACUUUCAGUAGGGAGGAAGGCUUACCGCUAAUAACGGUGAGUACUUGACGUUACCUACAGAAGAAGCACCGGCUAAUUUCGUGCCAGCAGCCGCGGUAAUACGAAAGGUGCGAGCGUUAAUCGGAAUUACUGGGCGUAAAGCGCGCGUAGGCGGUUUGUUAAGUCAGAUGUGAAAGCCCCGGGCUCAACCUGGGAAUUGCAUUUGAAACUGGCAGGCUAGAGUGCAGUAGAGGGAGGUGGAAUUUCCGGUGUAGCGGUGAAAUGCGUAGAGAUCGGAAGGAACACCAGUGGCGAAGGCGGCCUCCUGGACUGACACUGACGCUGAGGUGCGAAAG
rnacentral:rRNA from 1 species